AGAAAACAACUAGAGGGCUCACAAGCGGCAGUUAGUUACCCUUCAGAAAGUAUAGGGGAUGAAAUUGGUAGAAGGGAUUUGUGAUGCUGACAAAGAAUAAAGUCCUCAGCGACAGGAUUUUUUAAAAAUAUACUAGGAUUAACCUGAGCCUAUUUGUUCAAGAGAGUAUUAAUGACCAGUUGAUUCUCCCAGGGGUCAGGUCAGUGUAAGUUAUCAAUCAUGUGGCUGUAUAUUCAUACUGUGGUGCCUGUUUUACUCACAGGUAUCACUGUCUAGAAGCAACUGUGGGAAAGUAAAAUAUCAUACUUCAAAUAUAUUUCUUGGGCACAUUUCAAGAUGGUUAUUCGGAGAAUCUACAGACAUCAGAAUAGCUAUCCUUUUGGGCUGGAGAUUUAGCUCAGUGGCACCGAGCCUGCCUGGCAAGCUCAAGGUCCUGAGUUCAAUCUCAGUACCCAGCCCCCCAAAAAAGAAUAGCUAUCCUUUUGUAAAGAGAAAUCUGCUUCUAUCUACAUUAGCAAAUAGCAAAUGCAGGCAGAGGCUUCUAUCUGAUAUUGCCUUUUCUGCCUAGGAAGGGUAUUUCCAAAGGGAAAAGACACGGUCUGAAAUCUGGCCCAGCCAGAGAUGACUAAAGGUAGCUGUCACGUGUCAGACUUUACUUAUGUAAAGAUAACCCUUGUUCUCUGCACACUCUCAACUUUUCACAGCCUGUACCCUCUUCCCUUCACCAGGACAG
rnacentral:lncRNA from 1 species